GACAGAGGGUGCAAACGUUGUUCGGAAUUACUGGGCGUAAAGCGUGUGUAGGCGGCUACGUAAGUCGGAUGUGAAAGCCCCAGGCUCAACCUGGGAAGUGCACUCGAUACUGCGUAGCUUGAGUAUCGGAGAGGUUGGUGGAAUUCUCGGUGUAGAGGUGAAAUUCGUAGAUACCGAGAGGAACACCGGUGGCGAAGGCGGCCAACUGGACGAAUACUGACGCUGAGACACGAAAGCGUGGGUAGCAAACAGG
rnacentral:rRNA from 1 species